GAUGAACGCUGGCGGCGUGCCUAAUACAUGCAAGUCGAGCGAACAGACGAGGAGCUUGCUCCUCUGACGUUAGCGGCGGACGGGUGAGUAACACGUGGAUAACCUACCUAUAAGACUGGGAUAACUUCGGGAAACCGGAGCUAAUACCGGAUAAUAUAUUGAACCGCAUGGUUCAAUAGUGAAAGACGGUUUUGCUGUCACUUAUAGAUGGAUCCGCGCCGCAUUAGCUAGUUGGUAAGGUAACGGCUUACCAAGGCAACGAUGCGUAGCCGACCUGAGAGGGUGAUCGGCCACACUGGAACUGAGACACGGUCCAGACUCCUACGGGAGGCAGCAGUAGGGAAUCUUCCGCAAUGGGCGAAAGCCUGACGGAGCAACGCCGCGUGAGUGAUGAAGGUCUUCGGAUCGUAAAAUUCUGUUAUUAGGGAAGAACAAAUGUGUAAGUAACUAUGCACGUCUUGACGGUACCUAAUCAGAAAGCCACGGCUAACUACGUG
rnacentral:rRNA from 1 species